UAUGGAUUCGACGAGUCGAGAUAAAAGGCCGACGUGGCGUGACUGUUGGUACGCAGAUCCCAUUUAAUCUUCCAUGGCACAACUUGUCUCUUCCAACUCUAUUGAAAAUGAAGUCUGUAAUUUUGAGCCGGUCAGUGUUGAGCUUGUUGGUCGUCGUUUCAGAGGCGUGGUUCCUCAAUCUCAAGUCCGGCAAAUCUGACACAGCAGAAAAAGUGAGGUCAGCACCGAAUUCACGUAAAGUGAUUCUGGUAGCCAAGAAGGUCUACGUUCCGAUGUACGCGUCUGAUGACACGGCCUCAGCAGUUGCCGACCGAUUUCUGCCCUUCUCUCCCGCACUUACACCUUCUGAUGGAAUUGUGACGGAUGGACGUCACGAUUCAUACGAUUGGACGACGAUUCAGCAACAUUCACCGCUUUCAGAAAGAGGCAACGAGAGCCGUUUACGUCGCGCUUCAGCCUCUCCGUCAUCGUCCGUCUCAUCAGGAGAUGAAAAAAACAGGUGUAAUGAUCGAGGGCUCGCUUGGGCUUGGGCUUGGGCGGAAAUUGACGUCUGAACUGUGGCAGUUUUCAACAGUUGCGGAGUGUCCAAUGGUUGGUACUACAAUUCGGUAAAAUUAGUUGAUAUGCUGGAAGUGUCUCUUCUCCCGUCUCUUCCAACUCAUAUUGAAAAUGAAGUCUGUAAUUGUGAGCCUGUCAUUGUCAGCUCCUGUUCAGGUCCCUGCUGUUGUUGUUGACCAGGGUGUUGCUUCCCAACAAUAUGCAGUUUAUCCCGCUGGAUACGGAGCUGCUGGCCAGCAGUACGUCCAAUACGCCGGUGCUCCGUAGUUUUUGGGGGGCCCAAGCCCAACCCAAGCGAGCCCUCCAUCAUUGAACCUUUUUUUUUUAUCUCCUGAUGAGACGGCCGGAUGGCGGAGAGACUUGGAUGAUGCAGUACGCCGGAGCUGGAGAUGUUGUUGCUGCAGGACGCAGGAGUGUCAUACUCGCCAACAGGAAACGACCGAGAGACGGUUGCCGAUCGAUCUGCAGUUUCGGUUCCAACUGAAGCGUAUGCAAAUGUUUUUUUUACUGCAGUGAUCGCGUGCAGUUUUUACUUUUUAAUUUUACAUUAUUUAAUUCGCAUGAAUGAUUGACCUUACUAUAUUUACUUGACAUAAUCAUUUUGCUAAACAUAUAUAAUACAUUUGUGCUUUUAACAAA